CCUACGGGGGGCAGCAGUGAGGAAUAUUGGUCAAUGGACGAGAGUCUGAACCAGCCAAGUAGCGUGAAGGAUGACUGCCCUCUGGGUUGUAAACUUCUUUUAUAAAGGAAUAAAACGAGGCACGUGUGCCUUUUUGCAUGUACUUUAUGAAUAAGGUUCGGCUAACUCCGUGCCAGCAGCCGCGGUAAUACGGAGGAUCCGAGCGUUAUCCGGAUUUAUUGGGUUUAAAGGGAGCGUAGAUGGGUUGUUAAGUCAGUUGUGAAAGUUUGCGGCUCAACCGUAAAAUUGCAAUUGAUACUGGCAGUCUAGAGUACAGUUGAGGUAGGCGGAAUUCGUGGUGUAGCGGUGAAAUGCUUAGAUAUGACGAAGAACACCGAUUGCGAAGGCAGCUUACUAAACUGUGACUGACAUUGAUGCUCGAAAGUGUGGGUAUCAAACAGGAUUAGAUACCCUAGUAGUC
rnacentral:rRNA from 1 species